rnacentral:rRNA from 1 species
GGCGGACGGGUGAGUAAUACUUAGGAAUCUACCUAGUAGUGGGGGAUAGCACGGGGAAACUCGUAUUAAUACCGCAUACGACCUACGGGAGAAAGGGGGCAGUUUACUGCUCUCGCUAUUAGAUGAGCCUAAGUCGGAUUAGCUAGAUGGUGGGGUAAAGGCCUACCAUGGCGACGAUCUGUAGCUGGUCUGAGAGGAUGAUCAGCCACACCGGGACUGAGACACGGCCCGGACUCCUACGGGAGGCAGCAGUGGGGAAUAUUGGACAAUGGGGGAAACCCUGAUCCAGCCAUGCCGCGUGUGUGAAGAAGGCCUUUUGGUUGUAAAGCACUUUAAGCAGUGAAGAAGACUCCAUGGUUAAUACCCAUGGACGAUGACAUUAGCUGCAGAAUAAGCACCGGCUAACUCUGUGCCAGCAGCCGCGGUAAUACAGAGGGUGCAAAGCGUUAAUCGGAAUUACUGGGCGUAAAGGGAGCGUAGGUGGCUCUAUAAGUCAGAUGUGAAAUCCCCGGGCUUAACCCUGGGAACUGCAUCUGAAACUGUAGAGCUAGAGUAUGUGAGAGGAAGGUAGAAUUCCAGGUGUAGCGGUGAAAUGCGUAGAGAUCUGGAGGAAUACCGAUGGCGAAAGGCAGCCUUUCUGGCAUAAUACUGACACUGAGGCUCGAAAGCGUGGGUAGCAAACAGGAUUAGAUACCCUGGUAGUCCACGCCGUAAACGAUGUCUACUNAGUCGUUGGGUCCCUUGAGGACUUAGUGACGCAGCUAACGCAAUAAGUAGANCCGCCUGGGGAGUACNGGCCGCAAGGUUAAAANCUCAAAUGAAUUGACGGGGGCCCGNCACAAGCGGUGGAGCAUGUGGUUUAAUUCGAUGCAACGCGAAGAACCUUACCUGGUCUUGACAUAUCUAGAAUCCUGCAGAGAUGCGGGAGUGCCUUCGGGAAUUAGAAUACAGGUGCUGCAUGGCUGUCGUCAGCUCGUGUCGUGAGAUGUUGGGUUAAGUCCCGCAACGAGCGCAACCCUUGUCCUUAGUUGCCAGCGGGUUAAGCCGGGAACUCUAAGGAUACUGCCAGUGACAAACUGGAGGAAGGCGGGGACGACGUCAAGUCAUCAUGGCCCUUACGACCAGGGCUACACACGUGCUACAAUGGUAGGUACAGAGGGCAGCUACACAGCGAUGUGAUGCGAAUCUCAAAAAGCCUAUCGUAGUCCAGAUUGG